CGGGUGAGUAACACGUGAGUGACCUGCCUUUUAGACUGGAACAACUUACCGAAAGGUGAGCUAAUGCCGGAUGAGUUAUAUAAGUGCAUGUUUAUAUAGGAAAAGUUGGGGAGACCUGACGCUGAAAGAUGGACUCGCGUCCCAUUAGCUAGUUGGUAGGGUAAUGGCCUAUCAAGGCGACGAUGGGUAGCCGGCCUGAGAGGGUGACCGGCCACACUGGGACUGAGACACGGCCCAGACUCCUACGGGAGGCAGCAG
rnacentral:rRNA from 1 species